UACGUAGGUGGCAAGCGUUGUCCGGAUUUACUGGGCGUAAAGGGCUUGUAGGCGGUUUGUUAAGUCUGGUGUGAAAUCUCCCGGCUCAACCGGGAGGGGUCAUCGGAUACUGGCAGACUUGAGACGGGUAGAGGAAAGCAGAAUUCCCGGUGUAGCGGUGAAAUGCGUAGAUAUCGGGAGGAAUACCAGUGGCGAAGGCGGGUCUCUGGACAGUUCCUGACGCUGAGGCACGAAGGCCAGGGGAGCAAACGGG
rnacentral:rRNA from 1 species